UUGCAACAGAAAAAUAUGUAUAUCAAAAUAAAUGUAUACAUUGUGUGAAAUGCAUAGUUUCACCCUUAGGAGACACAGGGACACCUCUAGACAGAUAUAGACAGACAGAGAAAAACAGAUGCAUAAAGUAAACAUUACGCUGAGGCAUUUGAAUAUGAUUCUAUUUUAGGUGGUCGAGGUAGACCAGCUAUUCAUAUUACAAGAGAUCAGAUCGACUUUCUUUUGGCCCAAGGACACACAGUCAAGAGGAUGGCAAACAUCUUUGGAUGCUCAACAUCAUUUCUUUAUAAGAAGUCCAAGGCACUUGGUGUACCAAUCAGGGGAAGGUUGGCUGCAGUGACUGAUGAAGACCUUGAAACUAACAUCAGACAACUUCAAUCCCUGUAUCCAAAUUCUGGGACUGAGAUGAUGCGAGGCUUGUUGCAUGCACAAGGACUAGUGGUUCCACAGCGUAAGGUCCGUGACAUGAUGGCUCGAAUCAACCCAAUGGCAACUGCAAGGAGGUGGAGCAGUGCAGUGUCUCGACGUGUCUAUCAUGUGCCAUAUCCCAACAGUUUAUGGCAUAUUGAUGGCAACAUGCGUCUCAUAAGGUGGGGCUUUGUGGUCCAUGGUGGCAUCGAUGGAUGUUCUCGCUUAAUUACUUACUUGAACUGUAGCACAGACAAUCGCGCCUCAACAGUGCUAUUUCAUUUUCUCAAGGCAACAGGCCUCUAUGGCUUACCUUCAAGAGUGAGGUCAGAUCAUGGUGGCGAGAA